GCCUCCCAUAUCACGUAACACACGCCCAACUUCUACAUCAGCUCCUCCAAGACCACGGACCAGGCGCACCUCGUUUUGUUCAGUACUCUUUUCAGCCUGGGCCCCAAGUAAAUCCCGGAGGUCCCGAUGAUAUCCCACCUUGG